CUACGUAGGAACCCAGCGUUGUCCGGAAUUACUGGGUGUAAAGGGUGCGCAGGCGGAUUUGUGCGUCAAGGGUUAAAUACCUCGGCUCAACCGAGGAAAUGCCUUUGAUACGGCAAGUCUUGAGUACGAGAGAGGAUGGUAGAAUUCCUGGUGUAGCGGUGAAAUGCGUAGAUAUCAGGAGGAAUACCCGUGGCGAAGGCGGCCAUCUGGCUCGUUACUGACGCUCAGGCACGAAAGCGUGGGGAGCAAACAGGAUUAGAUACCCCAGUAGUCC
rnacentral:rRNA from 1 species